CAACCCUCAAGCCCCUUUGGACUUGGUGUUGGGGACCGGCGAUGGACACACUGUCCUGUCGCCGCCCCCUAAAUGAAUUGGCGGCCUCGUCGCGGCCCUCCUCUGCGUAGUAGCACACACCUCGCAACAGGAGCCCGGCGAAUGGCCACUGCCGUAAAACCCCCAACUUUUUUCAG
rnacentral:misc_RNA from 1 species